rnacentral:rRNA from 1 species
ACGCUCGACACCUACGUGAGGCAGCAGUCGGGAAUAUUGCGCAAUGGAGGAAACUCUGACGCAGUGACGCCGCGUAUAGGAAGAAGGUUUUUCGGAUUGUAAACUAUUGUCGUUAGGGAAGAAAAAGGACAGUACCUAAGGAGGAAGCUCCGGCUAACUACGUGCCANCAGCCGAGUAUCNGAGGCGGNNGCAGC